rnacentral:lncRNA from 1 species
GAAGUGUGUAUUAAGGUGGGGGAAGGAAUAACAAAGAAAGUUCUGAAGCAGUUAGAAAGUUUUUCGGGUAUCUAAGAUAAUGUCUCACCCACAGGAUCCCUCAAAGACAAUGGACGUUGUGAAAGAAAAACCAGUGUUAAAACAGUGCCAUCGCUCUUAUCCAGACUGCCCAGGGUUUCGUGAUCACAGCUGUCCUUUGUAGUUUCCUGUUAACCACGUGGUUGUUUGGUUUUUUCUGUACCUCUCCUUCACUGAAGAUGCAAUGCCAUCUUAUCUUCAUUAUCCUUUCCUCCUUGACAGGCAUUAGUCUCUUCAUUGCCAUAUUGCUGAUUGUGUUCAUUUUGGAAAAAACAACUGCGGUGCAAAACACUUACUACGUAGUCCUGUGGCCUUUUUAUUUGCUGUGGUUAGCACUAAUACUGUGCCUGAUUUCCUGUAUCCUGGGAAUCAUUUCUUAUAAGGGCCUAGGCCAGAAAAGAAGGAGAGCUACAACUAUAAAAGAAGAAAAAAUGCCUAAUGAACAAAUGUACUCAAAAGCAAGCAUAUUGUUAGCAAAAUCACUUAUUUCAAAAUCUAUAUCUCAAGGCAGAAACCCCAACUUAUCACAACUGUCCAUAUCUACCUUAGGGGAUAAUUGGACAUCCCAUAAGGGAAUUUAUGAUGCAUUUAAAGAUCUGUAAAUAUGUGAGAUCAAGUCCACUGAUGAGCAUUCUGUUCUUCCCAUAAAAAUGUGUAAAAUGUCUGUAUGUAAUUCUAUCAUGUAUGCCUAUCAAGUAACAACCUUGUUGAAAUGAGGGUUCAAGCCUAGAUUAUGUGAGCCAUUAGUCCUAUGGGACAAAUACAGUUUUUUCUCAAAAAUGUGUUUUGAAAUAAAAUCAGUUGACUACUCUCUCGGCAUCUAUUUUUAACUUA